UUGUCUUGCUAAAGAUUUGUCAACUGUUCGGCUUAAUAGGUGGAUCCUUCAAACGCUCAUUGUCUCUCUCAACACUAGCCCAGUACAAACUCGUCUUUUUGACUAAUUUCAUCUUGGCAUAGCGAACUCUACGCUCAUCAAACAUCUCAUACCAAUCGAAAAAUUUAUCCAUACUGGACAAUCAAUCAAGGAAGAUAUUUGGAUCUGGCCUACCGUCAAACUCGAGUGCAUUAACCUUAUUUUUUCUAGUGUCAUCAUCAUAACCUCGGUCACAAGUGUCGACGUUCCUAGGUCCUCGGUAUCCAUAAUCUCUAGGUUCAC
rnacentral:lncRNA from 1 species